UACGUAGGUCGCAAGCGUUGUCCGGAUUUACUGGGCGUAAAGAGCGCGCAGGCGGCUGGUCAAGUCCGAUGUGAAAUCUCCCGGCUUAACUGGGAAACUGCAUCGGAAACUGAUCGGCUUGAAGGUGGGAGAGGGUAGUGGAAUUCCCGGUGUAGUGGUGAAAUGCGUAGAUAUCGGGAGGAACACCAAUUGCGAAGGCAGCUCGCUGGGACGUUACUGACGCUGAGACGCGAAAGCGUGGGGAGCAAACAGG
rnacentral:rRNA from 1 species